AUCGAGACUAAGAGUCACAUCUAGAUGCCAUCAGUCAUCAUGGUGUGCUAUAGUCCUCGAAGAAUAAUAACUGACCUUUAUUCACUGACUCUGUGAUUCAUUAGCAGGGUCAGCUGCCAGGUUGGUAACAGUU
ensembl:snoRNA small nucleolar RNA SNORA3/SNORA45 family